rnacentral:rRNA from 1 species
UACGUAGGGGGCAAGCGUUGUCCGGAUUUAUUGGGCGUAAAGAGCGUGUAGGCGGUUAGGUAGGUCCGUUGUGAAAACUCGAGGCUCAACCUCGAGACGCCGAUGGAAACCAUCUGACUAGAGUCCGGAAGAGGAGAGUGGAAUUCCUGGUGUAGCGGUGAAAUGCGCAGAUAUCAGGAGGAACACCGGUGGCGAAGGCGGUUCUCUGGGCAUGUCCUGACGCUGAGGAGCGAAAGUGUGGGGAGCGAACAGG